rnacentral:lncRNA from 1 species
GCUGCGCACUUCGGUCUUUUACGUCGGCCUUCGCGAGCGUCUGGGCGGGUGGUAGGAACAAUGGCGCUGUCUUCAGUGGCACAGUGGAGCAGCUCUGAAGAUGCAAAGAUACACGAAAAAACUUCCAGAACAUCUGGGAGAAUAUUUAAUGGAAAAUCGCUUGGUUAAAACCUGACACUUUUAACAGGUAUGUGUUGUUUUAGUACUUUAUGAUUGAGCAUAGCAUUUAAUCCACACCUAGACUAAAUCAAAUUUUUUUUGUCAGUGAACAGCGUUCUGAGUGUGGACGAGUAGCCAGUGAAGAUAAUGAAUGUCGAAUGUGACUGACUAGCAGCUUCAUUUUGAAUGAGGGUCGCUGUCUGCCCAUUGAUAGAGGCCAGAUUGUCUUGGAAGUUCCAAAGUUGCAACGAUUUCUGGCUAGUGCCACGAGGUUUACUUGACUGUUGUGUGAAAAGCUGAUAAGAAAACCAUCCAGAAAAAAGCUCUUCGUUUUACAAACAUGAAAAUAAAACAUGUAAUUUUGGAUUAUGUUCCUUUUUGUUAUUACUUUUAAAUAGGUCCUGAAAUAACAUGGGGAGCAUUAAAUGGAAAAUCCACUAA